UGCGCAGGCGGAUUAAUAAGUCGGGGGUUAAAUCCAUGUGCUUAACACAUGCACGGCUUCCGAUACUGUUGAUCUAGAGUCUCGAAGAGGAAGGUGGAAUUUCCGGUGUAACGGUGGAAUGUGUAGAUAUCGGAAAGAACACCAGUGGCGAAGGCAGCCUUCUGGUCGAGUACUGACGCUCAUGCACGAAAGCGUGGGGAGCAAACAG
rnacentral:rRNA from 1 species